AUUGAACGCUGGCGGUAGGCCUAACACAUGCAAGUCGAGCGGCUGCACAGUGCUUGCUUCUGGUUUCAGCGGCGGACGGGCGAGCAAUGCAGAGGAAUCUGGCUGGCAAUGUGUGAUUACGUGCGGAAGUGGGCGCUCAUACCCUAAUCGCGCAGACGACCUAAGUGGGAGAGCUUGGGAUCUCCCGACAUUAGGCGAGCCUAUGUCGGAUUAGCUAGUUGGUGGGGUAAAGGCCUACCAAGCCGACGAUCCGUAACUGGUCUGAGAGGAUGAUCAGUCACACUGGAACUGAGACACGGUCCAGACUCCUACGGGAGGCAGCAGUGGGGAAUAUUGGACAAUGGGCGAAAGCCUGAUCCAGCCAUGCCGCGUGUGUGAAGAAGGUCUUCGGGUUGUAAAGCACUUUAGGUUGGAAGGAAGGGCAGUAAGUUAAUACCUUGCUGUUUUGACGUUACCAACAGAAUAAGCACCGGCUAACUUCGUG
rnacentral:rRNA from 1 species